rnacentral:misc_RNA from 1 species
AUGACAUCAAAUUUGGUCCCAAAGAACUCCGGGGAGAGCUCCUGCUCAUGCAGGUCACAUUUGUAAUACAUGGGAGAUGAAGAAGAUUUGACAACAAUCUCAUCCUUCCUUUGAAUAAGUUCUCGAAGCUUGGGAUAGUCCUCAAUAACACUAGUAAGCUCUAGUUCCCUGAUGAAAUUUUGAGGCCUCGUGCCAGUGUCUACAAAAUUUUGGGAAUAAUCAUUCUGCUCACCCCUAGAAGGAGCUUUUCCAGGUGGCGCAUUAGUUCGAGAAGGCACCCAACCUGCAUUAGCUUUAUCUUUAACCUGUCCACGACCUCCUGGUAUUAGUGCAUUAAAAUUUGAACCAGACAUGCUAGGUGGUGUCCCUCUUCCAGGGCCUAGUUGAUUAAAAUACAUUGCAUGAUUUGGCAGAUUCCCCAAAUUAGGGGGAAAUCCAGGUCCCGGCAGAACAGGUGGAAGUCCAGGUGGAACACCUAGCAUAUUCAUCUCAACACCUCGGGCUCCAGGCCAAACCAGAGGAGAUGAAAACGGAGGAAUGAAAGGGGACAUAGGUGGACCUGGAGCAGGUGACAUAUUAGGAGCUAAAGAUUGCACAGAUCCAGGCGACGGCAUUCCAAGUGGUCCAAAAGGUGAUCCCAUCAUUGGCAUUGGAGGUCCGAAUUGGUGGACAUCCCUUCCUGUAGGCCUCCCUCUUCCUCCUCUACCAACCCUACCUCCUUUAGAACCUAUUGGGACAGAUCUAUUGAAGGAAGGCGGUUCCUGGUUUACAUAUGAAGGUUCUGAACUGGAAGUUUGGCCCCAGGCAGAUUGAAUAGAUGCAUCUCCUUUCUGACCCCUUGCUUCAGUCUCAUCCUUAUUUGAACUGUCACCUGAUGUAUCCCUUAAAUCUGGACCAGAUUGGCCUGACCAAUUCAUGUUUCUUCCCCUGCCUUCCCUGGCAUAGUUCUCAUCAUCUGGAAGUGAUUUUGCAUCAGAACUCUGAUUAACUUCAGUUGUUCUUGCUGCAGAAGAUAUGGCCUCCUCCCUACCAUAGUCAAAUGGCCUUGUUUGGAUCUCUAUGACAUCAUAAUUGUCAUUUGAAAUUCCAUAUUUUGAUGAAGUUUUCAAGGCUUCAGUCCUAUUUCCAUCUUUUCUACCACCAGAACGAGGCCUUUCAUUGUCAAUCCAACCACGUCUGGGUAUUUCCCACUCUCUGCCAUGUUCGUAAGGUGUCUCGCCUUCUUUCAUUUCCUUGUCAACAAAGCUCCCUUGCCUUCUUUUCCACCCAUCUUUGGAACCAUCCCGAAUUCUGUUUCUAUCACUCCUGCCGUCAUCCCUUCCUUUUGAUUUAUCAUCUCUCACACCAUCUUUUUCUUGUUCUUUCCUCCUGAAGGUAUCUCGUUUUUCAUAUUCCAUCUCAACGCUUUCUGAGUCGUAACGGCGCCUUCCACUUCUCUCAGGUGUUCUGGACCUAUCAGAGGAAUCCAUCUCUCUCCUUUUUCUUUCUCGCACCAAUGAGCCGCCGUCAUCACCUGCUACCAUAGACCUUUCAUGACUUUCAGCCGUGUGAUGAGUUGUGGCACUUCUU